UUUAUUUCUUUUUUUAGCUGACAUCUACAGGUAUAGUGAAUAAUUUCUAUUUCUCGCCUUUCCACUUCUGCGUUGAAGAUGCUUUACUGUGAUAUGAGUACAUAAGUUACACAUUUACAUACACAUCUACUCUAAUUGUACGCUUGUGUGUUGUUAUCACAUUCACACUGAAAUUCAAUCCUUUGCUGUACCUCCAAAGUAAAAAUGAAAGUGGGUUUCUUAAGCAGCAGGAUGAAGAUGAAGAAUAAAAAAAUCGCACAAAGCUUCGUGAUGUGCAAAUGUCGCAGUGCACGAACUUUUCUGCAGCAGAAAUAAUCGCUGCAUGUUUUACGGGUGUGCAGCGGAUGUUGCUGCAGCGCAGCAAGUGCAGCAGCCAAGCACGUCUACCCGUGUGUUGUUGUAGCUCGCCAUCACGACUAGACAUGGCGGCGAAGUCCACGUUAACCUGGGCUGGGAGGCUGGUAGUUGGUCACGUGGUCAGCACGUGGACCCACAGCUGUAUAAUUACAAUGAGGCUUGGAGACUGGCAGUGUCUCCCACGGUGCCGGACCAGUUGUGCCGACUGCAGCAGCUUCUUUUUGGACGAGGGCAGGAAGCUCGCGGUUUCCAAGACGACCAAGAUCGAAGACACUUGAAAAAUGAAGAAAUGUUUCCAAGGUGUUAAGCUGGUACUACUAACAUGUGCUAUCAGUUUAAUGCUCGCAAGGUCGACAGGUGAGCGAUUUGGAGAGGGGCAUCCCUGCCUGGCUACUAACCAGUGUGCUCGGGGUCUGUGCUGCGCACGAUGGUCAUACACCCGUGGAAAACGUUCCAUCGUGGAUUCGCUCUUUGAUUCAGGGUCCUGCCGGCCACUGCGCAUGCGCAGUCAGACGUGUCGAGACUGGCACGAGCGGUCCGCAAACGGUCGGCGCGGCGCCUUGUACGACUACUGCCCCUGCUCGUCGGGACUUCACUGCCGAGGGGAGGAGGUCAUCGAAAUUGAGGGAACCAUCAUCCACAGCAACCCCAUCUGCCAGCCAGUGAACUAAUGGAUGACACAGUAAACACGGCGCUAAAGUGUGGCCAUAACGGGUCUAGCGCCAUGUCAGGUUCGAACCACCACGUGCCUGUAGCUUGUGCAGCUGGAAUCUGAGGUGGGGCUGGUGAUGCGGCAGCUGCUGGCCAGUGUUCUCCAGCUUUACAAUGUAAAAACAUCUUUGUGACUGCUGGAAUGCGAAGCACGCGCAAUGUAUUAAUACAUUUUACCAGCGAUGCUUGGUUUCAUUUUGUACAAGUUAUACAAGCAAACCUCUAAAAGUUGUUUUUCAUGCUGUAUGUAUGUAGGCUGGACACUGGAAGUACAUAAAGAAUGUGACGAUUACGUAAAGGCAUGCACAUGUGACCUUCGCUGCACUAAAAGACACAAAAUGCAGAAUGUAGCAUUAUCUUUUACACGUGUGAUGUUCUUGUACAGUUUUAUUCAUAUCAUAGCACGCUCUCCAUAUCAUGUUACUUAAGUACUGACAUUACAACAAAUGACUAUAUUCUCCUCUAAGUUUUGUAUCUAAAACCUUUCAGAUGAUUACAUCCGAAUUUCAAAGCCGUUUAUAAGGGUUAAACUCAGAUUGCCCACAAGCUUGAAAAACAACAACAACAAAAAACAAAAACAAAAACAAAAACAAAAAAAAAAAAACCAAAACAAACGAAUAAAAAUGAAAAACAAAAUUCAAAGAAAAAAGACGUGUAUACCAUACUUGUAAAGACGGUAACAUGAAACUGUAAGAAAAGAUUUACACAUAUUUGUACCUUUAAUAAGUGCAAAAAAAUUUUUUUAACUGUUCCAUUUGUAUAUAUAAAUACUGUAAAUACGCAUUGAUAUAUAAUUAAUACAGUAUAAUACUUAAGGUCUCACUGGGAGUUCAAAAAAAUCAACAAUAAGGAGAGAGGAAGAAAGAAAAAGCAAAAAAAAAAAAAAAAAAAA
rnacentral:lncRNA from 1 species